CUUGGUAGGGAUACCCGCUGAACUUAAGCAUAUCAAA
rnacentral:rRNA from 1 species